GUUACCGUGUCCUUUGGUUUGGCCAGCAGCUGUAGACAUUACUCGCAAUCGACCAGCAAUUUCGGAGAAGGAUGGCCUCACUGCAGGAUUAGGCGCCCAACACUGCUCCAUCAGCCUUUUCCAUUCUGGAUCGCAGAAGCUUGGAAUGGUUGGCCUCAAUGUAUUAUUUACAAUUCCUCCUGCACAGUGCAGAUCAGGAAAACAUUUACAAGAAGAUAAAUGGAUGCUUGUGCAUGUUUAAGCAGGGAAAACUUAAAAAAAUUACUCAUCGCAUCACUAGCUGUAUUAUAUAUUAAGACUUAGGUCGGUACGAUAAGAACUAACUGGAGACCUGAAUCUAUGCAGGUUGGCAUAUGCCUCUGGGAUGAUAAUUAACACAAGGAGUAUCAUUAACGCACCUAUGAUGGC
rnacentral:lncRNA from 1 species